AGCUGUGUGAGGACAGAACCAUCUCAUUUUCAUCCCCACUGUCGUGGCUAGAACAACCCAUCAGCAAACAACUGUUGACUGACUGAAUGAUUGAGGGAAUAAGUGAUUGAAGACUUGAAAACACAACAGGAUCAAAAUUGCAGAUCAGAGGCCUACAAGAGCCUGGAGGUCAUGAGUCAGAGAGGCAAAUAUGGAUCCUAUUUUUGAGAUGCUCACAGCCCAGAGGAGGCUGCUUCUACUCCAUGAGAACACUGAUGUUUAGGAUCAGUGGCAUUCCUUUACCUGCUGGGCAUGGAGCUUGACUACAUUUCCCAGACUCUCUUGAAAUUAGUAUCUUUGGCAAAAUGUUUUGCAUCCUUGCUUUUAUCAGUGGGGUUUUGGAAAUUGAAGAUGGGAUUUUCACUUGUGGAUCAACUUGGUGUAGAACAAAGAUGGCAUGUACAGAAGCAGGAAUCCAGAGGCUGAGACAUCUGAUGAAAAGAAUAGUAAACAGAGCUGCAAAAUCAGGAGCAUGGCAUUUGGACUUGACUCUGCAGGAUUGGAGAAAGAGAGAAGGGAACAAACCUGGACCUUCCCCAAGGAGGCUGUGAAGUGUCUUGGGAAGACUCUCAGCUACAUAGUUCAGAAGGGAUGCUGUUAUGCUGUGUCACUGACUGCCCCUCUGAGCAUGCCCACAGACCCUCUUCUGCCCCCUGGGCCCUACCUGUCACCACACCACCUCUACAAGAGCAUCCACCAGGAGGGCUAUUGACCGCUCCCACCUCUGACUGCUCCCCUGAGCAGUACCCCGGACACCAUCGCCUGGAUGUCCACAGGCCUCUGUGCUCCCUUCCCACACUCGCUUCUUCUCUUCUCUGCAUCUCAGCCCUCAGCAGCACCGGCCACCCACCCCCUGAGCCUGAAGCCUGGGAGUCCAUGGGCUCUUCAUUCAGCGUCCUGAAGCCCAGAGAGGAAGAGCGGUUUGCGAAGGCCUCCCAGCAAGUCCGGUGUGUUCAUACUAACGCAGAACAACUCUGCUCUUAGCCAUGAUUGGAAGGAAAUGCAGCUUCAGCAUGGACCCUUCCCCAUAGAUUCUGGCUCUUUCUGCUGCUGAAAUAAAAAAGAUGAACAAGUGAACUGUGUCACACAUCCAUGUGGAGCUGCAAGAGAGGCCAGGAAAUUGACCUUCACCCAUUCCUUUCCAAGUUUUAUACAAAAUUUAUACAAAAGGAAGUGCCAACAUCUUGGAGGAUUUCAGGACAGAUCCUAAUAGCCAGCAGUCUCUGCAUUGUAACAGUCAGAUGCAAGAAUCCUUGAAAGGCAUGCAACUCUCUAAAGCCGAGAACUGAAGCAGUUUUCCUCUAAACAUUUAUUACAAAUACAAGCGUUAUUUGUAUUCAGCACAGACCAAAGAGACUAAGCAGUUGGUCCUUUUUAUUGCCGUUGAAAUCUGGCCUGAUCUGGCAGCCCUUUUUAGAAUCACACGCUGAAUAAAGUUCCCAAGAUAUGUG